rnacentral:tRNA from 1 species
GCCAUAGCUCAGUGGAAGAGCAUCUGAUUUGCAAGCCAAAGGUCCCAGGUUCAAUCCCCAGCAUCGCCA